rfam:Populus trichocarpa isolate Nisqually-1 chromosome 9, whole genome shotgun sequence.
UAAUUUAUCUAGAGUAGAUCUUUAUUUAAUUAUAAUAAAUCUACGUCUAACUAUUUAGAAUCGCAUAUUAUUACAAGUUGAAUUAUAUCAUUUAUGUUGUUAAAUUAAUAUAGUUUCAAUAGCUCGUAUCUUUAAU